CGAAAGCCUGACGGAGCAAUACCGCGUGAGGGAGGAAGGCUCUUGGGUUGUAAACCUCUUUUCUCAAGGAAUAAGAAAGUGAAGGUACUUGAGGAAUAAGCAUCGGCUAACUCCGUGCCAGCAGCCGCGGUAAUACGGAGGAUGCAAGCGUUAUCCGGAAUGAUUGGGCGUAAAGCGUCCGCAGGUGGCAUUGAAAGUCUGCUGUUAAAGAGUCUGGCUCAACCAGAUAAAGGCAGUGGAAACUACAAAGCUAGAGUGCGUUCGGGGUAGAGGGAAUUCCUGGUGUAGCGGUGAAAUGCGUAGAGAUCAGGAAGAACACCGGUGGCGAAGGCGCUCUACUAGGCCGCAACUGACACUGAGGGACGAAAGCUAGGGGAGCGAAUGGGAUUAGAUACCCCAGUAGUCCUAGCCGUAAACGAUGGAUACUAGGCGUUGCUUGUAUCGACCCGAGCAGUGCCGUAGCUAACGCGUUAAGUAUCCCGCCUGGGGAGUACGCACGCAAGUGUGAAACUCAAAGGAAUUGACGGGGGCCCGCACAAGCGGUGGAGUAUGUGGUUUAAUUCGAUGCAACGCGAAGAACCUUACCAGGGCUUGACAUGUCGCGAAUCCCGGUGAAAGCUGGGAGUGCCUUAGGGAGCGCGAACACAGGUGGUGCAUGGCUGUCGUCAGCUCGUGUCGUGAGAUGUUGGGUUAAGUCCCGCAACGAGCGCAACCCUCGUUGUUAGUUGCCAGCACUUAGGGUGGGCACUCUAACAAGACUGCCGGUGACAAACCGGAGGAAGGUGGGGAUGACGUCAAGUCAGCAUGCCCCUUACGUCCUGGGCUACACACGUACUACAAUGCGACGGACAGAGGGCAGCGAGCAUGCGAAUGCAAGCAAAUCCCGAAAACCGGCGCUCAGUUCAGAUCGAAGGCUGCAACUCGCCUUCGUGAAGGUGGAAUCGCUAGUAAUUGCAGGUCAGCAUACUGCAGUGAAUUCGUUCCCGGGCCUUGUACACACCGCCCGUCACACCAUGGAAGCUGGUAGUGCCCGAAGUCGUUGCCCCAACCUUUCGGGGAGGGGGAUGCCUAAGGCAGGACAGGUGACUGGGGUGAA
rnacentral:rRNA from 1 species